CGCUGACCGCUCUAGAGAUAGAGUUUUCCCUUCGGGGACAGCGGUGACAGGUGGUGCAUGGUUGUCGUCAGCUCGUGUCGUGAGAUGUUGGGUUAAGUCCCGCAACGAGCGCAACCCUUGAUCUUAGUUGCCAGCAUUCAGUUGGGCACUCUAAGGUGACUGCCGGUGAUAAACCGGAGGAAGGUGGGGAUGACGUCAAAUCAUCAUGCCCCUUAUGACCUGGGCUACACACGUGCUACAAUGGACGGUACAGAGGGUCGCAACCCCGCGAGGGUGAGCUAAUCCCAUAAAACCGUUCUCAGUUCGGAUUGUAGGCUGCAACUCGCCUACAUGAAGCCGGAAUCGCUAGUAAUCGUGGAUCAGCAUGCCACGGUGAAUACGUUCCCGGGCCUUGUACACACCGCCCGUCACACCACGAGAGUUUGUAACACCCGAAGUCGGUGGGGUAACCCUUACGGGAGCCAGCCGCCGAAGGUGGGACAGAUGAUUGGGGUGAAGUCGUAACAAGGUAGCCGUAUCGGAAGGUGCGGCUGGAUCACCUCCUUUCUAAGGA
rnacentral:rRNA from 1 species